rnacentral:rRNA from 1 species
GCGCAAGCCUGAACCAGCCAUCCCGCGUGCAGGAUGAAUGCCCUAUGGGUUGUAAACUGCUUUUAUAAGGGAAGAAACACCUAGAUUUAUCUGGGCUUGACGGUACCUUAUGAAUAAGCACCGGCUAACUCCGUGCCAGCAGCCGCGGUAAUACGGAGGGUGCGAGCGUUAUCCGGAAUCACUGGGUUUAAAGGGUGCGUAGGCGGCAUUGUAAGUUAGAGGUGAAAGUUUGCAGCUUAACUGUAAAAUUGCCUUUAAAACUGCAUUGCUUGAAUUAGGUUGAGGUCAGCGGAAUGUGGCAUGUAGCGGUGAAAUGCUUAGAUAUGCCAUAGAACACCAAUUGCGAAGGCAGCUGACUGGGCCUAUAUUGACGCUGAGGCACGAAAGCGUGGGUAGCGAACAGGAUUAGAUACCCUGGUAGUCCACGCCCUAAACGAUGCUAACUCGACAUGUGCUUUUAGAGUGCGUGUCCAAGGGAAACCAAUAAGYUAGCCACCUGGGGAKUACGUUGGCAACAAUGAAACUCAUAGGAAUUGACGGUU